rnacentral:lncRNA from 1 species
UUUUUCCCGGGCUUUCGGUCGGCGUUUUCCUUUUCUCGCGGGUUUGGGCGCGCAUCGAACUCUGAAGGGUCGGGAAGGCCUGUCGUUGGAAUGUGGUUGAGUUCCAGGGAGUGUACAGGCUGGAGGAUGGGACAAGACCUAUCUCUGUAUCGAUCAAGCACGGCGUUGGUGUUCCAGCUCAUCACCAAUCCUAAGGAAUUCAAGUGCCUCCCAGGAUGAAUACAGGUAAUUUUUCCAACUGGGGCAUUGGGGUGGCCUCUCUUUUUCCCCACAGAGCAAAUGGGCAGUGAAGCAGUGUUACCUUUUUGCUCCUUCAGUUUCUUCCUUUUGCAAUGAUAUUCCUGGGGAGGGAGACAGCAAGCAGCACAGUUGGUUCUGUGAGGGUGUUCUCUUCCUUCACACAUAUGUCACUGUCAGAUGAUUUGAAUUGACAAUGCUGAUCCUCUGUGAGGUCCAACACUUAAUAGCAUGUUAGAGUUCUGAUGGCAGUUUACAUGAAUGAAAAAGUGUUAUCUUGUGAUAGUAUUUAAAAAUAACCAUUUGCUGCUGUUCUACAGGUUGUCUUGAUGGUGAUACAUUCAUCUGUCUUAAGAUCCCUGCUGAUCUGCUCAUGGUCAAACUCCUGGAAAGAGUUGAGAGUGGGGUACCUUGUUCCUGCAUCCUCAAAGGAGCAUCUUGUUCCUCCAUUUAAGCUUCCAGAGUUAAAAGGUUAGUUGAUUAAUGUCACCAUAAUAUAUGCCACCAAGUAAGCAGUUUCUGUGAUGAAUCAAACUAGCUCACUAUGAACUAACAAUGAAAAGAUAUGAACACCUGAGAAACUGGAGAACAGAGCAGUGGGAUACUGUCUGCAAGGAACUUAAUAUCACUUACAGUUUUGUCCUUUCCUAGGUACCUGUACCAUUUAGCGGCUUGUUCACUCAAAGGUGAGUGAUUUAUAUGUUGGCACAUACAGUGUACUGAGGGAGAAAAUGCCUUUUUAGGCAUCUACACAUGAUGACUUACAUGGAAUCUCGUUCGGCUGAUGAUUUGCUGUUGAGACUCGGAAAUCUGAUUUUUUUUUUCUUUUAAGAACUUAAGUGGGAACAAAUUUUAAUGUAGGAAGUAAGCAUUACUGACUCAUUCUUGUUUUGUUUUAGAUCCAUCUUGUCUGGAGCCUGAGGAUGACUGGAGGUGAAAGGUGUAAGCCAUACUCUGCUCAACUCCAGUCUGAAACUGAGGUUAAAAGAACACGUACUUAACACACGGGUAAGAAUCCAACUCUUGGAGGACAUCAGAAGUGGAAUUUUCUUAUACAACCUACCUAUUCAAAUUAGCAUAUAAUCUUUCUAGCCUUUCUAAAUAAAUAAAGGGAUUUUUUUGUAA